AUGAGUCGCGCCCAAAGAGCAAAGAGCGGGAAAAAUAUAGAAACGUAACUGCUGUUGUUGACUUCACUGUUAGUUUUUGUAUGGUAGACAUCAUAUACUAGUAUUUUGGAGCAUAGGAAAGCCUGAAAUAUGCUAGGUCAAGGGAAAAAUGAGGAACAUUGCCAGUCUAAACGUCUAGUACACCAACCAGAUCCAGAUGUACAACAUCAGAACUUCGAAUUCUUGGAAAAGUUCUUCCCAGAGAGGCACCAGAAGAGAUACAUGAUUCCUAAAGAUUUUCCUGUGGUAAAUCCAGNUUAUAC